rnacentral:rRNA from 1 species
AUUGAACGCUGGCGGCAGGCCUAACACAUGCAAGUCGAGCGGUAGCACAGAGAGCUUGCUCUCGGGUGACGAGCGGCGGACGGGUGAGUAAUGUCUGGGAAACUGCCUGAUGGAGGGGGAUAACUACUGGAAACGGUAGCUAAUACCACAUAACGUCGCAAGACCAAAGUGGGGGACCUUCGGGCCUCAUGCCAUCAGAUGUGCCCAGAUGGGAUUAGCUGGUAGGUGGGGCAACGGCUCACCUAGGCGACGAUCCCUAGCUGGUCUGAGAGGAUGACCAGCCACACUGGAACUGAGACACGGUCCAGACUCCUACGGGAGGCAGCAGUGGGGAAUAUUGCACAAUGGGCGCAAGCCUGAUGCAGCCAUGCCGCGUGUGUGAAGAAGGCCUUCGGGUUGUAAAGCACUUUCAGCGGGGAGGAAGGCAUUAAGGUUAAUAACCUUAGUGAUUGACGUUACCCGCAGAAGAAGCACCGGCUAACUCCGUGCCAGCAGCCGCAGUAAAAC